CUGCCCUCAAGCACGGCUUGUGUGUUGGGUGCGGUCCCCCCGGGGACCUGCCCGAAAGGCAGCGGCGACGUCCGUCUGGUCCUCGAGCGUAUGGGGCUUUGUCACUCGCUCGGGAAGGACUGGCGGGGGUUGGUCACCACCAAAAUUUUACCAC
rnacentral:misc_RNA from 2 species